GGUCAAACCCACUCUUCUUCUCUUUCUCUGCUCAAAAACAAUUCAUAGUUCCCCAAUUUCGAUUUCGGUUCCCCAAGCGCUGGAGCCUAUUCAAAAAUGCGCUCAUCUUACAAUCCUUUGGAGUGGUUUGAUUUCAGAAGAUUAAACUGACGGUGGAUUGGUGUUCGGAUUUCCUCCCGCCGCUGCUCUGACCAGGUUUUUCCAAUCGAAGUCGACAGCCACGGUGUACUUGAAACCGAUGAUAGUUAGGUUUUGUUCAAUAAAAGGGGGUUUUUCAUAGAUUGGUAUGUUUUACUUAUAUAUUCAUCAUAGUUAUUGGCCAGUUUUUAUGAAUCAUUUUUUUGUUUAUGUUUUUGCAUCUUUAGGGUUUUAAUUUUUGAGUUAAGUGAAAUUCCAGGUUUUAUCUUCGUCAAGGUAUGUCAUUUUGCAUUGUUAAAUUCUAAGAAAACAUCUCUGAUGCAUGUUACAAGGUUGAAUAUAAUCUGUUUCUUAUUAUUUUUAUUUGUAUGCAAGAUGGUGCUUCGAACAUCCAAUGAGUGAGAUGGGGUUAGGGCGAAAUGCGAGUCCAUUAAAAUUAGUUCAAAUUGCAUAAAACGACAACUGUUGAAAUGAAAAUAGUUGUAAUUUUAAUUGGAAAUUUCUUACAAAUCGGUGACAUGGUCUGUGCAGGGGUAGGUUCAAAUGCACUUGACCACAUUGAAAUCUUAUGAAGCUGAGGUACAAUGACUCUAUGAGAUUGCAUAUUAUAAGCUGAGACAGUGAUAGUGUGGAGAUCAUUUCAUAUGGGCCCAUCUUUAGUCCCUACAAAUCGCAUUUUUAGCGUGAACUCGGUGAGGGAUUGUCUACGUCUAUCUACUUGGUAAAUUAUCCUCUUACUAUCCACACAACAGAAUAACGUUUUAUACGAGUCGUUUUACAAGUUGUUCAAGUCUUUACGGUUGGUUGCAAUAAUUAUACAUCCUGUAUAACCUUAUACGACCCGUAUCACCAUAUAACCAUUAAAUGGCUGGUAUGAUAUGUGGCGGUGGUGUACGUAUACCGACGCCCUUUAUAGUACAACAAAGAUCAUGUGAUGUAGCAUGUAAUAUGUUUUGACUACGUUGUUAGGCUGUCUAUUUGAAUCUUGUGGAAGUUUAGUUUCUUAUUUCAAGUUAAAAUUCAUGAUCUUUUGUUUUGCUAUGUUGGCUGGACAGGUUAUUUUUGUUCCUCAGCUCCACUUCAUCCACACAUUUAUAGCAAUUGUCAGCUUUGUUCAUGUUUGUUUCAUGACUCAUAUGUUCAUAUGUUUUCUAAACCUCUAGCCUAGCAAUUAACAUUGGAGAUUGGACAAACUAUAAUAACUACUUUUUUAACAACAGUUAACACAAGAAAAAAUUUAUAAUAAAUGCUAGGGAAUUCUAUUUAUGAAGGUUUACUUCAGAGUUAGCGUUGCUGUUAAUGGUUAUAAGUUUUAAAAGUUUGUAGAAUGUUUUUGUGCAUUAAAGAGCAUUUUGUGUUAUCAUGUGUGAAUAUAUUUCUUCAUUGGUGUUUGUUUGACGGGGGCGUUUAGCUACUGGUGCAAAUAUACUGCAGGAUUCAUGGUCCCCUGCCAUGACUGUCGGUUUUGUACGCAUCAACAUCGUCUCCGUGCUACCAUGCUCUACUUGUAAGGUUUGUUUUCUUAUUAACUUGCUCAAUAUUCUAUCCUUAAACUUUUCAAAUCAAGUUAUGGAUGGUGAGUUUUCGGCAUGACAACAGUGUCCUGCUGAUGAUGAAUGAUAUGUGAAGAAUUGCAGGAAUGGGAGAUUUCCCAAGGAGACCGGGUGGUGGUUCUAUGACAAUGAAGUAUAAGUAUUAGGUGGUUUUACUGUUUCUGGUCUGAAGCCAUUUUUAUUGACGCUUCCUACGGAAAGGCAUGAUUACCAAGGUUAAUUCAUCGACCGACACUGUUGACCAGUACCGUAUACUAACUGAUAUUUUGGUGUGCCCUUUGUCGGAAACAAGCUUAUAGCUUGCUGCUAAGAAGGUAUGUCACCUAGAAUCUAGCUUCUUCCUUCUAGAAAUGUUAAGACUUAAAGAGUGAGUGUGAUCAUUUUGCAAAUAUUUGUUAACUAAUUGAUUCCUUCAAUAUAUCUUGGGAAAUUGAUGUAGUGAGGCUUCUUUAAAAGUGGCCGGUUUCAACCUAAAGAUUUAAAAUGCAGGUUAGAAGUUUAAAUAGAUGGCUUAGGUGUUAUAUGGGUCAAAGUGUGUGUUUUACUUGAAAACUUAAAGGAUGGACUAAGGAGCUGAUGUGGGCGUAGGCAAUGUCCACUGGCAUAGCAUACGUUGUUGCAUGGGAUCCUACACUCAGAACUUUCUGAGCUACGUUGGGUAGCUGAGAAAAAUGUUGGGCCAGAUGUACAGUUAGCAUACUUAUGCACAACUGGUACUUGGGAGAUGUUUGCUACUUCUUUUAUUUUACAUGUAAAUAAAUCUGAGUUAAUUACUCACAUUAAUGCUUUUAUAUGUGGUGAUUUAAUGGUGUAGGUAUAGUUGCCAAAGUGUGAAAAGAAGUGCGAUUAAGUCUCAAGUUAGCAACGAAGAUCUAAAAAUACUUUUUUUUUUCUAAUCAUUUUACAAAGGCUUUAAAGGUUCUUAGUUUUGUGAAUCUUCUGCAAGGUGAACAAUGAAAAUUACAAGGAUCUUCAUGAUGUAAUAGUUAUAUAUUCAUUGUGAGGAAGACCUCCACUCAAAGGAGAACAAUGACCACCACGGGUUGGAAGUCAAAGAUAGUCUGAAAGUGGAUUGCAUUUGUGUUGGUGGCUGCUGCAGGUUAGUAAUUUUUUCUCUUUCUUUAUAUUGUUUUUUCCAUCUAAUGUAAUGUUUUAGGAAUCGUGAAAAUACUGAUACUUCUAUUUAUAUAAAUGAAAUACGAUUUUAUUUUUAAUCUGUUGAUUUUUA